rnacentral:snRNA from 1 species
UCUUCAAAGUGAAUGCUUGA